AACUUUUGGCAACGGAUCACUUGGCUCUCGCAUCGAUGAAGGACGCAGCGAAAUGCGAUACGUAAUGUGAAUUGCAGAAUUCAGUGAAUCAUCGAAUCUUUGAACGCAGAUUGCGCUCUUUGGUAUUCCGAAGAGCAUGCUUGUUUGAGUAUCAGUAAACACCUCAACCUCCUUUUCUUUUUUCAAAAGGAGGGUGGACUUGAGCCAUCCCAACAACCUUCACCGGUAGGCGGGCGGCUUGAAAUGCAGGUGCAGCUGGACUUUUAUCUGAGCUAAAAGCAUAUCUAUUUAGUCCUCGUCAAACAGGAUUAUUACUAUUGCUGCAGCUAACAUAAAGGAUAAUUGUCCUCAUUGCUGACUGAUGCAGGAUUUUACGACACUUUAUGUGUUGUUCAACUCGAUCUCAAAUCAAGUAAGACUACCCGCUGAACUUAAGCAUAUCAAUAAGCGGAGGCU
rnacentral:misc_RNA from 1 species